AACUGCUCGGGAGCUGGAGUUGUUCCCAUGAUGAGUCCUUGGUAGGACGAAAUCAGUG
rnacentral:hammerhead_ribozyme from 11 species